rnacentral:rRNA from 1 species
GACGAACGCUGGCGGCGUGCUUAACACAUGCAAGUCGAACGAAGUGGCGCACGGGUGAGUAACGCGUAAUCAACCUGCCCUUCAGAGGGGGACACCAGUUGGAAACGACUGCUAAUACCGCAUACUGAAGGAGGGGAUUGCGUCUGAUUAGCUCGUUGGAGGGGUAACGGCCCACCAAGGCGAUGAUCAGUAGCCGGGCUGGGAGGAUGAACGGCCACAGUGGGACUGGGACACGGCCCAGACUCCUACGGGAGGCAGGAGGGGGGAAACUUCCGCAAUGGACGAAAGGCUGGAGGAGCCAAGCCGCGGGAGUGAUGACGGGCUUCGGGUUGUAAAGCUCUGUUAAUCGGGACGCGGUACCGGAAGAGAAAGCCACGGCUAACUACGUGCCAGCAGCCGCGGUAAUUC